rnacentral:rRNA from 1 species
CGCCUGUUUAACAAAAACAUGUCUUUUUGUUUAUAAUAUAAAGUCUAAUCUGCCCAUUGAUAAAAAUUAAAAGGCCGCGGUAUUUUGACCGUGCAAAGGUAGCAUAAUCAAUAGUUUCUUAAUUAGAAGCUUGAAUGAAUGAUUGAAUGAAAUAUAGACUGUCUUUAUAUAAUUGUUAUAGAAAUUAAUUUUUAAGUUAAAAAGCUUAAAUUAUUUUAGAGGACGAGAAGACCCUUUAAAGCUUUAUAUAAAAAUUAUAGGUAAGGAUUAAUAUUAUUUAAAUUACGUAUAGUUAUAUAUUUUAUUGGGGCGAUAGGAAAAUUUAUAAAACUUUUUUUUUUAUUAAAACAAUUAUUAUUGAAAAGUUGAUCCAUAAUUUGUGAUUAUAAGAUUAAGUUACUUAAGGGAUAACAGCGUAAUAUUUUUUGAGAGAACUAAUCGACAAAAAAGAUUGCGACCUCGAUGUUGGAUUAAGAUAAUUUUUAGGUGCAGAAGUUUAAAAAUUUGGUCUGUUCGACCAUUAUUUGUUACAUGAUCUGAGUUCAAACCGGAG